GAUGAACGCUAGCGGCAGGCCUAACACAUGCAAGUCGAGGGGUAGAGGUCUUCAGGCUUUGAGACCGGCGCACGGAUGCGUAACGCGUAUGCAAUCUGCCUUACACUAAGGGAUAGCCCAGAGAAAUUUGGAUUAAUACCUUAUACUAUAUUGAUGUGGCGUCACAUUAUUAUUAAAGAUUUAUCGGUGUAAGAUGAGCAUGCGUCCCAUUAGCUAGUUGGUAUGGUAACGGCAUACCAAGGCAAUGAUGGGUAGGGGUCCUGAGAGGGAGAUCCCCCACACUGGUACUGAGACACAGACCAGACUCCUACGGGAGGCAGCAGUGAGGAAUAUUGGACAAUGGGCGCAAGCCUGAUCCAGACAUGCCGCGUGCAGGAUGACGGACCUAUGGAUUGUAAACUGCUUUUAUACAGGAAGAAACCCUACUACGUGUAGUAGAUUGACCGUACUGUAGGAAUAACGAUCGGCUAACUCCGUGCCAGCAGCCGCGGUAAUACGGAGGAUCCAAGCGUUAUCCGGAAUCAUUGGGUUUAAAGGGUCCGUAGGCGGACUUAUAAGUCAGUGGUGAAAUCCGGCAGCUCAACUGUCGAACUGCCAUUGAUACUGUAAGACUUGAAUUACUGUGAAGUAACUAGAAUAUGUAGUGUAGCGGUGAAAUGCUUAGAUAUUACAUGGAAUACCAAUUGCGAAGGCAGGUUACUAACAUUAUAUUGACGCUGAUGGACGAAAGCGUGGGUAGCGAACAGGAUUAGAUACCCUGGUAGUCCACGCCGUAAACGAUGGAUACUAGCUGUUCGGUAGCAAUACUGAGUGGCUAAGCGAAAGUGAUAAGUAUCCCACCUGGGGAGUACGAACGCAAGUUUGAAACUCAAAGGAAUUGACGGGGGCCCGCACAAGCGGUGGAGCAUGUGGUUUAAUUCGAUGAUACGCGAGGAACCUUACCAGGGCUUAAAUGUAGUGGGACAGGCUUGGAAACAGGCCCUUCUUCGGACUCAUUACAAGGUGCUGCAUGGUUGUCGUCGGCUCGUGCCGUGAGGUGUCAGGUUAAGUCCUAUAACGAGCGCAACCCCUGUUGUUAGUUGCCAGCGAGUAAUGUCGGGAACUCUAACAAGACUGCCGGUGCAAACCGUGAGGAAGGUGGGGAUGACGUCAAAUCAUCACGGCCCUUACGUCCUGGGCUACACACGUGUUACAAUGGCCGGUACAGAGAGCAGCCACUGGGCGACCAGGAGCGAAUCUAUAAAGCCGGUCACAGUUCGGAUUGGAGUCUGCAACCCGACUCCAUGAAGCUGGAAUCGCUAGUAAUCGGAUAUCAGCCAUGAUCCGGUGAAUACGUUCCCGGGCCU
rnacentral:rRNA from 1 species